GUAAGGAUUCCCGUCCCCUCGGUUCUUAGAAGGGGAAGUGACUAAUUAAGGUUCAUGUCACCCGUACACUGCAACCUCUCCUCUGCCCAAUUUCAGCAUCACCCUGACAUGCCGGUGACACACACCAGCACUCUGCCCUCCUCUGCUACACAACACUGCGGGAACAGCACAGGAGCAGUACAGCACAAUGUCAAAUAUCUCCUGUUUGCUAAGGGGUUUGCAUAUUGAUUGUUUAAUUUCUCCAUUAUCUUUCAUGCAAGAAAUCAUGCUGUCCACUUGCUUCCAUGGUAGAAGACACAGGGUGUAGUCCUGUACAUCCAAAUGUACCCCAUCAUGCCAGGAUCCUGUUUUUAUUUCUAAUUUCACAGUUUCUUCAUUAGCAUUUGUCUCAGCAUACAAACUGUAACACCUCCCCCACCCGCCUCGUCUUAUUCUUAGUCCCGUUGUGGGUUCUGUGCCUGUAGAAUUUCCAGCGCAGUGAGAUCUGGUCAACGACUGAGGAGAUGAGCGUUACGGUGCCAGGCCUCCUGCCUUUUCCUCUCCAAGACUGGAAUUCUGGAAUUGUCCUGCUCCUAGACUAGACUGGGGCUACCACGUCCUGAGUAUCAGCUGUGCUUACCAGCGCAGCCUGGCACAAAUAGGCACUUCCUUGGUUAUAUCUGUGACCCUCCCAGCAUCCCAGGGCAAGAUGGGGAAGGGGCUCCAUGGUAUCUGAUAGGAGUUUCAGUAGGCCUGCCCCCAGCUCACUAAUGUCUUCACCUGUCUUGGAAAGGUGACAUGUAAGGUAUCACCAGAAAGCUACUGACAUGAUGUUCGUUAAUAAUGUUGCAUGGUGUAUGUAUGGAGGACAAAGGCAAGAUUACAGAUAGCUGGGGAAUGAUGUUCUUAAAGCGUGUCUGCCAGCCAGGGCAGAAGUUACCCCACCCUAGAUGAAGGCAGGUGGUUCUGCCACCUUGAAGGCACUUUCAGGGUACUUUAAGAGACAAUGGGAAUGCAAUUUAUAUAAACGAUAAACAAACCUAUCAUACAAACAAGGGUGCAGCGCUAACCACUCAGCAUCAUGGCAGGGAAGGAUAUCUUAGGACCAGACCAAAUUCCAUUUUAGCAAACACCAGCAUGGGGAGAAACCAGCAUGGAACUUCCUUCAUCGCUAGACUCCAGGCCUCCUUCCUCGCAGCUUGAAUGAAUGUUACUUUGGAGGGGAACUUCGAGAAAGGUUCACUGAACUACACAAAAGAGGCAGAGAACUCCAAGUUAUCUUCCAUUUAAGAUGACAAAGGACCCAAGCCCUUUGGACUUUGGGGGAGAGACUGAGCAAGGGGUGGUCUGCUCUCUUAGUGGAAAGUAGCAUGAUCAGAAGCUUCCCUUGGACCGGGACUGCAGUUUUAUUAGAUGAUAAUCUCCAGAAAUCAUUGUCCACUUCCACUUCCUGGUAGCCAUUUCUAUCUCCGUUAUUUAUACCUGAACUCACUUUAAAUGCUUUUGUUAGAUUAAACGUUUAGUAAAUGAA